UAGGGAAUCUUCGGCAAUGGACGAAAGUCUGACCGAGCAACGCCGCGUGAGUGAAGAAGGUUUUCGGAUCGUAAAACUCUGUUGUUAGAGAAGAACAAGGACGUUAGUAACUGAACGUCCCCUGACGGUAUCUAACCAGAAAGCCACGGCUAACUACGUGCCAGCAGCAGCGGUAAUACGUAGGUGGCAAGCGUUGUCCGGAUUUAUUGGGCGUAAAGCGAGCGCAGGCGGUUUCUUAAGUCUGAUGUGAAAGCCCCCGGCUCAACCGGGGAGGGUCAUUGGAAACUGGGAGACUUGAGUGCAGAAGAGGAGAGUGGAAUUCCAUGUGUAGCGGUGAAAUGCGUAGAUAUAUGGAGGAACACCAGUGGCGAAGGCGGCUCUCUGGUCUGUAACUGACGCUGAGGCUCGAAAGCGUGGGGAGCAAACAGG
rnacentral:rRNA from 1 species